AGAGGAGGGGACAGGGAGGGCAGAGGAGGGGACAGGGACGGAGCACGGCCGGGACCAGCACUCACCGUCAGCUCCAGGGCCUCGUUGAGGAGCCCGUUGCGUUUGCUGUGCAGAUUCCCUUGUCCCAUUUUAACACCGAGCCUCCUGAUCAGUGUGAGAGUGAGAUCUCUGUGCUGGGCCAAGGUACCAAGGCACGGGCUGAGAACACAACGAGGAAGUGAAAUUGGAUCUUCACUUUUUCUGGAGACUUCCCUGAGCUGCUGUGUCACUCUCGGCCCUGGAAAGGACUGGCCUUUGGCUGUGGCCUGGAACAAAAUCCAUGGGGACUGCUGCUGUGGAAUGGGAGCCGUGGGAGAGAGCCAGGACAGGGGAUGAGCAAUAUUUCAUGGCAUGGUCCCUCUGUUCCUGGUAAUUACAUCUCCAUUAAAUUGUUCAUUCUAAAUGCAA